rnacentral:rRNA from 1 species
CACGUAUUUAGCCGGGGCUUCCUCCUAUGAUACCGUCAUUAUCUUCUCAUAGGACAGAGCUUUACGAUUCGAAAACCUUCUUCGCUCACGCGGCGUCGCUGCAUCAGGGUUCCCCCCAUUGUGCAAUAUUCCCCACUGCUGCCUCCCGUAGGAGUUUGGAGCGUGUCUCAGUUCCAAUGUGGCCGUUCAUCCUCUCAGACCGGCUACUGAUCGUCGCCUUGGUAGGCCCUUUACCCUUCCAACUAGCUAAUCAGACGCGAGCCCUUCUUACACCGAUAAAUCUUUGACCCCUAUAUCAUGCGAUUCUGUGGUCUCUAUGCGGUAUUAAUCGUCGUUUACCAACGGCUACUCCCCCUGUGUAAGGUAGGUUGCUCACGUGUUACUCUACCCGUUCGCCUACUUCAUUUCUAUUCCAUUCCCGAAAAGUAAUUUACCACAAAAACU